rnacentral:piRNA from 1 species
CUGGCAGAAUUCACCAUACGGGUGUGGU